AAUCACUAUCAUACUAAUUCUGAGAGAAAAAAAACAAAAAAGUGAAAUAAAACCCACGAACAUGCCAUAUGGCCCACCACCACUACCAUCACCAACCCGCUGUUGCAUUUUCAUUGGCCGAAAUUACCCCUGACAAUGACGUUAUUUCCACCUGCCACUCGGAGAAGCGUAUCAAAUAUCAAUAGAGAGUAAGGUCAAAAUAGGAAAUUCAAAAAUAAAAAGGAAAUGGAAAUUCGAAUCGGACAUGGGAAAAAAAAAUUAAAACUAAAUAAGGAAAGGAGAAUGGGUAAAUAAAUAAACGGAGUUUAUUUUUAUCCCUUUCUUUUAUUGUUCCCGCUCGGGCUCUUCGUUCUAAUUACUCGUAGCUCUUCUUCUUCGUCAUCACUUUCCUUUGAUCUCUCCCUCCUCGUUCGAUCCUCUGCGCCAUGUUUUCGAAGCUUUUUGGUGGGUGUAGGGACGAGUCUCCUGUGUCCUCUUCGCAGCAAUUGAAGCAGGGAAAAAGUACGGGCGAAAACAUGGACACGACUCGAGCUAAUUUAGUUUGAUAGGGUUCAAGAUAGUCUGAACUAGGGACAUAAUGCAAAGCACAUUGUGGGCGUGUAAGAGGAUGCUGGAAAACUGUUUCCCUUUUCAGUACAGAUCACUAAUUUUACUUUUCUGAGGCAUUUUAAAACCAUCGGAUUGGCGAAAAUGGCACGAUUUUAAUGGUAAACAGCGUCUUCAGGUGCUAGAAGUUCUCGGGCAAAAGGAGAUCACCUUGCAGAAGAAGAUUGAUAUUGAAGUGGAGAGAGCAAAGGAAUUCACCAGGGCAAGGAACAAACAAGCGGCAUUUCAGUGUCUGAAGAGGAAGAAGUAUUAUGAAGGUCAAAUGGAACGACUUGGGAGCUUUCAGCAGCGUGUUCACGAUCAGGAGCAAAAGCUAUCACAAAAGUCGGCGGUUCAAUGUAAACAGGUGCAACAGAUUCCCAGCAAUGUGAGAAACAACUUGGAGAAAAUUUGAUUGGAGGACUAUGGCACUUCAAUCGGUUCUUUUACAUAGAAGUUAAAACUACAAGGGGCAGAUCCUGACUACUGAAUGGUGUAGAUGACUAGCGGAAGUUUUGUUCAUGAUACUCCUGGCGAGGUAUAACUGAAUGUAUAAAUGGGUGCUGGCUCAUUGCAGUAUCAAUUUUUGUAGAUAGUUCUUUCUACUGAUUCAGUCCAAUAGAAUGCUAGUUAUAUUUUGGACCUCUUCAGUUAUAUUAUUUACGAAUCCAAAAGCUUUGUUGAUGUCCUCCCACUUUAGAUACCAUUAACUUAUUUACAUCUGCAACAAUGAAUUUCCUCUGCCUUUAACUGUUUUUGGAUGGGGUUUUAUUGUUUAUUACAACUUAUACCUCAUGUAUUAUACAAACGGCCACAAAUAUGGUAAUGUAACUGCUGUUAUUCCUA